rnacentral:tmRNA from 1 species
AUUGCCAGUGAGCCUUGCAACAGUUGGCCGAUGGGCUGGGCAAGGGGGUUCUGAGCAAUCAGUGCCUCCCGGCUGCAAGGAUAAUUACAUGGGCUGGCUUCCAUCCGGGUACCUUGGGUGGAGGCGAGAAAAUAGGGUGCUGGCGGCCCAUGUAGCGUGCGACUGCGCGACAUGGGUAGCGAGAUCCAAAUCAGAUCGCUAAACAUGUAGAUCUGCCUGACGAAGGCUUGCGGACGCGGGUUCAAUUCCCGCCAGCUCCACCA